GGCUCCCCUCGCCGAACGUGAUAUUCAAGUGCGAGGGGGUCAGGAAAACAUUAAAUGAUGCAAGAGAUACGAUAUCGCGCCCCGCCAGAGGCAAGAUGAGUGACAGCGAGCAUUAAACGCCGGGUAGCUAUAAAGCGAGAAUGCAGGCAGGGACAGAAUAAACUAUGGUAUUGGAUCGUGUCCCAGAAUGCAUUGCAUCACAAAUGUACUGAACGCAAAGAAUGAACGGAUCCCUGACAAGCUCGCAGACUGUCCUGCGCUAUAUGAUAUACAAAACAGUCGGGGGGCAUUGUUUACCUCGGAGAACAUUCAAAAUAAAAUCCCCGGGAGGAAAAGGAAAAAGACGAACUGCUGUCAUCGCCGUCAUAGAGAAUUCCAAACACGGAAAAAUGACAGGGAUGAAAACAGAGCCACACUUCAGCUGGGGGGAGAGAAGAAGAAGCAGAAGAAGCAGAAGAAGAAGAAGAAGAAGAAGAAACACGGGUGACCUGAAAGGGGCGUAUUGUGUAAGGGGGCACUCUUCCCUCUGCCACCGAGGGGCAAGUUGACGGAACAGCGCGGUGAAUCGCACCCAUUGUAGCGCUCGCCGCCGGGAUGAGAGCAUGGAACGGAUUUCGGCCCCCCUCCGGCCCCCCUUAUCAGCUCCCGCCAGGAACGGUGCCGUCCGGAGGGCUCCCACCUUGACGACGGCGGCCGUAGACGCCAAAGCGACCGUAGACUCCUUGGCGAUCUGCUUGCAUGCUGCAGCCCCUCAGAAAAGUGUGGGAAUAAAUCCUGAAAAUUGAAACUUAUGUAAUCAGUUUAGCUGUAUUAUGAAAAAUGUGUCUUCCCCUCUGACAGCUGAAGGGGACAAAAAUAAACAGUGAAACAUAAAACCACCAGAAAAGACCAUUUUUCCACCUCGUCAUGCCGAAUACAUUUUCGACUGCGCAAGAGUGUUAAAAAAAAAAGAGAUCGAAACGAUAAGCUAUGUAAACUAGAUUAGCAGACAUGAACAUGAGAAGCAGGGGCAGUGGCCGCUGUAAUUCUGCUGGAGUUCUGACAUCAGUUGCCCUGCACAAGCAGUGUUUUCAUCUUCUGGCGAGUGAUGAGGUCAUCGCGCUGAGACAGGAAGGAGCACUAGCAGGAAGGCUUGUGUCAGCAUUCUCUACGGGCCAUGAGAACACGACAAAAAAACAAAAAUGGAAUCCGUCUCCGCUUCUGCUUUUUUCGAGCGCGUUCACGUGUCCGAAGGGCUUGUUUCUAUUUACGCGGCCGAUAUGAGUGAAAUCUGCCCCAGCGAAGAGGGCAGGGUGUGAGCGUCUGAUUCCCCUCCCUUCCUGUCCUGGGAGGACUGGGUGAGGCAUUUAAUUUCGAAAAAGGUGGGACUCUCCUUCAUGUGGGCGUCGUCAUGGAUCAGUGGCACCUCAUAAAUGCCUCUCCAAGGCCCACUGGUAGCCAAUGAGGGCAUAUCCAAGGCAUAGCGGUACUUCAUAGUGACAUCACAAAGGCACUGUGGCGCCUUAUAAGGGCAUUUUCAAUGUACAGUGGUACCUCUUUGUGACUUCACAAAGGCAGAGUGGCACCUUAUAAGGGCAUUUCUAAGGCAAACUAGUACCACCAUAGUGACAUCACAAAGGCCCCAUGGCAACACAUAAGGUCAUUUCUACAGCGCAUAAUUACCUCACAGUGACAUAAAUUCACAGCGCUACAGCAAUAUCCCAGAGGCAAAGGGGGUACAGUGCCAUGUGAACACUGGGGCAUUUGGCUUUUGGCAGUCAUUGCACUGUCAUUGCA